rnacentral:rRNA from 1 species
UACGAAGGGGGGCUAGCGUUGCUCGGAAUGACUGGGCGUAAAGGGCGCGUAGGCGGUUUGUACAGUCAGGUGUGAAAUUCCCGGGCUCAACCUGGGGGCUGCACUUGAUACGUAGGAACUUGAGUGGGGAAGAGGGUCGUGGAAUUCCCAGUGUAGAGGUGAAAUUCGUAGAUAUUGGGAAGAACACCGGUGGCGAAGGCGGCGACCUGGACCAUGACUGACGCUGAGGAGCGAAAGCCAGGGGAGCAAACGGG